GGGAAGUCGGCAAAUUAGAUCCGUAACUUCGGGAAAAGGAUUGGCUCCAGUGACCGGGUCGGAUGGCCUGUUAACUGAUGCUUGUGCGGUUUCGUCCGUGGCUGGCUGAUGCUCACGCUGAUGCUGGACUAGUGACAAGACUGCCUUGUGGACGUUUUCAGGUGUGUGCUUUGUUUUCGGACUUAGUAUCCUGACCGACCAUCAAAACGGUCGAACUGGAACUGGUACGGAAGGGGUACGUGGACGAGAUUUCAGUUGUUAGAACUGCGUAAAGAGAUGAGUGCAUCAAUUAAACAUUGUCC
rnacentral:ncRNA from 1 species